GCGAUUUCUCGGCAAUCGCGAGGGUGUCCUCGGACAGGCAACAACGGGUUUAUUUAAUUUACCUUCUAUCAAUCUUCAUCAUCAUCAUCAUCAUCACCAUUAUCACUAUCAAUAUCAUUACCGACAACCACUAUCACGCUGAUAGUCAUCAGUUCACUAAUUAGUCAACCGCUUAAAUUCGCCAGUGCGUGCUAAUAGUAAAAUCAUAAAAUAAAAUAAUUAUAAAGUUAUUUAAUUAAAACAAGAUAGUAAAUUUAAAAAAUAAGCAAACAAUGAAUUUAUAAAAAAAUAAUUGUGUGAGUUUUAUUACGAGGUCAAUUUUGAAUUGAGUCUUGAAUUGUAGGACAAGAAAUGCUAGACUGAUAACAAGGAGCGACAGUAACGAGGAAACAUGCUUAUUAAGGAGUACAGGAUACCACUUCCUCUUACUGUUGAGGAAUACCGAAUCGCUCAGCUUUAUAUGAUAGCAAAAAAAUCACGUGAAGAAAGCAAGGGCGUUGGUAGCGGAGUCGAGAUAAAAGUUAAUGAACCGUACAAAGAUGGACCCGGAGGAAACGGACAGUAUACUCAUAAAAUUUAUCAUGUAGGAAGUCAUUUACCUGGUUGGUUCAAGAGUUUAUUACCUAAAACAGCGUUACAGACCCAGGAGGAAGCUUGGAAUGCUUAUCCCUACACAAAAACUCGUUACACGUGUCCAUUUGUUGAAAAAUUUUCCGUUGAAAUAGAAACUUAUUAUUUUCCUGACAACGGACAUCAAGAAAAUGUAUUCAAAUUGUCUGGUAGUGAUUUGCGUAAUCGAAUUGUCGAUGUUAUUGAUGUGGUUAAGGAUCAGCUUAUUGGUGCGGAUUACGUUAAAGAGGAAGACCCGACGCUGUAUGUAUCAGAGAAAACCGGACGUGGACCGCUCACUGAGUCGUGGCUUGAAGAUUAUUGGGCAGAAGUUAAAGGAAAAUCGCAACCUACGGCAUCGGGGAAGUCACUGAUGUGCGCUUACAAACUUUGUAAGGUCGAGUUCCGUUACUGGGGCAUGCAGACCAAGCUGGAGAAAUUUAUUCACGAUGUGGCGUUACGGAAAACUAUGGUACGAGCGCAUCGUCAAGCGUGGGCAUGGCAGGAUGAAUGGAUAGGACUGACAAUGGAGGACAUAAGAGAAAUAGAAAGAGAAACACAAUUGGCAUUACAGCGAAAAAUGGCUGCCGCUGAAGCCGCUGAACGUGGGGAGACUGUCGAUGGCUACGAGGAUGACCACAAUGAUACUAAUGGAGCGGUAUCAACUCCACAGGAUCCAACAGACGUUGCUAAAACACUGGCUGCGACUUUGGGUAGCAUUGAGAAAAAUGAAGACCCUCAAAGUCCCCCGUCCAUUCGAAAACCUUCGGACAUUCCUGUCAUCAAUACGGCUCGGAGUUCUGAAGGCGACUUAAGUCCCGAAGACUCUCCUACUGCCGUCUUAGCACCCGGCUUGAAGAUCGAAGAUAAAGCGGAAACUAAAAAAGUUUGGAAGCACGGCAGUCAUUCAAUGCACUCACCCAGUUCCGCGAAAAGCUUCGACAUCCAAAUUGCUAAUUGGCGCAUGGAGAGCAUCGUCCGUGAAUCUGAGUCGGGAAGCGAGGAUGAAUUUUUUGAUUGCCAAGCCGCUGGGAUUGUUGUACCUGAGAUACGCACAGAAGACUUUGGUGACAAUACAUCUCUGGCCAAGUGGAGCUCGCUGGACCUCUUAAAUGACAAAGAAGACUCGCUGUCACCCACGGCACCAACAUCCUCAACUGGAGUGUCUUCUAACAAACGAAACGACAGUAUAUUUUCUCACUCGUAUCUCCAGCGUGUCGCGAGUGAACGAAGCGGGAAAAGAAUUCAUAUACGGCCGUCAGCAAGCAUAGAUCUGUCAUGUCCAGCGUCACCGCAACACUCGCCAACUCAUCAGCCCUGUCGUACAACGGUUUUGCUGAUAGUGAUGCACGCUGGCAGUGUCCUUGACGCCAAUGUUGAUUUGUCCGCUAAAAAAUCCGACAUCACAACAUUCCGCGGUGCCUUUGAAUCUGUCAUGCGUCAGCAUUAUCCCAGUGUCGUUGGACAUAUCGCCAUAAGAUUUGUCUCAUGUCCGUCAAUUUGCACUGAAGGUCUUGGUAUUUUAUCCAGUUUAAGUCCUUACAGCUUUGAUGUAUCGCCGUCUUGUGUUGACUCUCCCCAAGUUACCAAUGACACUAUUCCUAUUGGAUCAAUUCCUCUGUUAGCUUGCUCAUCAUCUGACUAUCAAGACGCUGUGUCGAAAAUAAUAACCGGCGCAAACCAAGUAUUUGCCGAAUUUAUUAAGUCUGACGAAGGCCGCGGUUUCGCGGGUCAAAUAUCUUUCAUAGGUGACUCUGUUGGUUCGAUAUUAACUUACGACGCGCUAUGUCGCUCUGUACAGUAUCAAUCCCGUCAUGACAGUGAAAAUAGUAUUUUAGAAAACGACAAUCAAAAUACCGGUGAUAAUAGCCUCGGGAGUUGUGAAGACGGUAAACAUUUAACCGCACCUCUACCAAGAAGACGUUCCUCAUCAACGAGCGACUCGUCACAAUGUAAACUUGAGUUUGAAGUAAGCGAAUUCUUUAUGUUCGGUAGUCCGCUGGCGCUAGUACUUGCCUAUCGUAAAAUAUCUUCGAGCAAUGACAAAAGUACUGCGAUAUCAAGACCACUUGUCAAUCAAGUCUACAAUCUAUUUCAUCCAACUGAUCCAGUUGCCGCUCGCUUGGAGCCUCUUAUUUCCGCGAGAUUCUCACAGUUGCCUCCGGUCAACGUCGCACGCUAUCAAAAAUAUCCACUAGGCAACGGACAACCUUAUCAUUUACUCGAAGCCAUUCAAACAAAUCCACAAUUGUUUACUGAUGGAUUGAAUGCUCCAAACACGCCACUCCACCAUUUAAGAAGAAUGUCUGAUAUAUCGAUCCAAAGCACUAUGUCAGGUCUUAUUGAUAAUGUACCUUUGCAAGCAGUUUCUUCAUUAACACACAAGUGGUGGGGAAAUAAAAGAAUAGAUUACGCACUCUACUGCCCAGAAGGUCUUGCAAACUUUCCAACAAACGCAUUACCGCAUUUAUUCCACGCAAGUUACUGGGAGUCAUCAGACGUUAUUGCCUUCAUAUUAAGACAAAUCGGUAGAUUUGAUUUGCCGAUGCUCGGCGGUGAAGAAAAAGAUUUAGCUUGUUUCCGUCCAGGUCAGCCGAGAGAAAAGUGGAAUAAAAAACGAACCUCUGUUAAACUUAAGAAUGUCGCCGCGAAUCAUCGAGCAAAUGACGUAAUUGUUCGCGAAGGCGCUCCGCAAAUAUUGAUCGCGCGAUUUAUGUACAGUCCCAUAGACGUUAUCGCAUUGACUGGUGAAAAAGUUGACAUCCAUGUGAUGAAAGAUGCACCCGCUGGAGAAUGGACAUAUCUAUCAACAGAAGUAACAGAUAAAAAUGGCCGAAUCACUUACAGAAUUCCUGAUGACAAAGCAUUGUCUUAUGGUCUCUAUCCUAUUAAAAUGGUUGUGAGAGGCGAUCAUACGUCUGUUGAUUUUUUUAUGGCUGUAAUACCCCCGAAUACUGAGUGUGUGGUAUUUAGUAUCGACGGAUCAUUUACCGCGAGUAUGAGCGUCACGGGAAGAGAUCCCAAAGUCCGUGCUGGUGCUGUUGAUGUCGUCAGACACUGGCAAGAGCUCGGGUAUCUCAUAAUCUACAUAACAGCGCGACCAGAUAUGCAGCAGCAGAAAGUUGUGUCCUGGUUAUCGCAGCACAACUUUCCUCACGGUUUAGUCUCCUUUGCGGACGGUCUCUCCCGAGAUCCUCUGGGUCACAAAGCCGCGUACUUGAACAAUCUGAUACAAGAGCACGGAGUAAUAAUUCACCAGGCGUACGGUAGCAGUAAAGACAUUGCCGUUUACACGGCAGUAAAUCUUAAGCCGCGUCAGAUAGUAAUUGUCGGUAAAGUGUCCAAGAAACAUCAGUCACUGGCGACUGUCUUAAGUGAAGGGUACGCCGCUCAUUUAACUCAACUACAGGCUUACGGGGGAUCAAGACCUGCUCAGGGUAACGCGAGAAUGGUGAUCCCACGCGGGCAAUUUGGUCUCCCGGGUUUAAACUCCUCUUUGCGGCGAAGAAGUAAAACGCGUGCGAAUACGAGCCACGGCUCUAUUUUUCCAGUAAGGAGACAACGGUCAGCUCACCAGCUCGCAACAACGUGUACUUAAAGCGGAAAGUCUACCUUACCCACAUCUAACACACGUCUAAUUAUAUCUACCUACAAUUUACUCACUUACAUUGGUACCUGCUCUGAAGAUUUGUUGCAAUGUCGCGAGUCGAUGUUAAUAAUCGCUCACGACAAGAGCGACCUACAUCACAUUCCACAAUCAGAAUUAUUAUUUUAUCGACAGCAAUGAUAUUAUCCAGAAUUUAUGCACGAAUACGACUGAGAGCUAGUCGUUGGUGCGGAAAUAAUAAUUCCCAUUCGUUUGAUUCCUGAUGAUCAUGAUGGUGAUGGUGAUGAUGAUGAUGAUGAUGAUGAUGAUGAUGACAAUAUUUAUGAGAUGAUGAUGUGUUCCAACAAAUAAUGAGGCGAUUGGUCGCGAUGAUUUUGCGAGCAAGUUCUUUUAGGACAGCGAAACGUACCAUAUCAUCACCAAUGAUUCCAAACAAAUCAGAACAACUGGAACGGAGUACAAGUGUCGGUCCAGCAUCUCGAAGAUCAUCGCCGCCUCUUACCAGACCACCAGCUUCUGAUAAACUC